rnacentral:rRNA from 1 species
AGAACGAACGCUGGCGGCAGGCCUAAAAACAUGCAAGUCGAGCGCCCCGCAAGGGGAGCGGCGGACGGGUGAAUAACACGUGGGAAUGUACCUUUCGGUACGGAACAACUCAGGGAAACUUGAGCUAAUACCGUAUGCGCCCUAACGGGGAAAGAUUUAUCGCCGAAAGAUCAGCCCGCGUCCGAUUAGCUAGUUGGUGAGGUAACGGCUCACCAAGGCACCGAUCGGUAGCUGGUUUGAGAGAACGAUCAGCCACACUGGGACUGAGACACGGCCCAGACUCCUACGGGAGGUAGCAGUUGGGAAUCUUGGACAAUGGGCGCAAGCCUGAUCCAGCCAUGCCGCGUGAGUGAUGAAGGCCUUCGGGUUGUAAAGCUCUUCGCCUACGACGAUAAUGACGGUAGUAGGAGAAGACGCCCGGCUAACUUCGUGCCAGCAGCCGC